rnacentral:rRNA from 1 species
AGUGAACGCUGGCGGUAGGCCUAACACAUGCAAGUCGAACGGCAGCACAGUAAGAGCUUGCUCUUACGGGUGGCGAGUGGCGGACGGGUGAGGAAUACAUCGGAAUCUACUUUUUCGUGGGGGAUAACGUAGGGAAACUUACGCUAAUACCGCAUACGACCUACGGGUGAAAGCAGGGGAUCUUCGGACCUUGCGCGAUUGAAUGAGCCGAUGUCGGAUUAGCUAGUUGGCGGGGUAAAGGCCCACCAAGGCGACGAUCCGUAGCUGGUCUGAGAGGAUGAUCAGCCACACUAGAACUGAGACACGGUCCAGACUCCUACGGGAGGCAGCAGUGGGUAAUAUUGGACAAUGGGGGCAAGCCUGAUCCAGCCAGACCGAGUAGGUGAAGCAGGACUUCGGGUUGUAAAGCCCUUUUGUUGGGAAAGAAAAGCAGCAGGUUAAUACCCAGCUGUUCUGACGGUACCCAAAGAAUAAGCACCGGCUAACUUCGUG